rnacentral:rRNA from 1 species
UACAGAGGGUGCGAGCGUUAAUCGGAAUUACUGGGCGUAAAGCGUGCGUAGACGGUUAUUUAAGUCGGAUGUGAAAGCCCCGGGCUCAACCUGGGAAUUGCAUUCGAGACUGAAUAGCUAGGGUACGGUAGAGGGAAGCGGAAUUUCCGGUGUAGCGGUGAAAUGCGUAGAUAUCGGAAGGAACAUCAGUGGCGAAAGCGGCUUCCUGGACCAGUACCG